CCUACGGGUGGCAGCAGUGAGGAAUAUUGGUCACUGGGCGCGAGCCUGAACCAGCCAAGUAGCGUGAAGGAUGACUGCCCUACGGGUUGUAAACUUCUUUUAUAAAGGAAUAAAGUGAGGCACGUGUGCCUUUUUGUAUGUACUUUAUGAAUAAGGAUCGGCUAACUCCGUGCCAGCAGCCGCGGUAAUACGGAGGAUCCGAGCGUUAUCCGGAUUUCUUGGGUUUAAAGGGAGCGUAGAUGGGUUUUUAAGUCAGUUGUGAAUGUUUGCGGCUCAACCGUAAAAUUGCAAUUGAUACUGGCAGUCUUGAGUAUAUUUGAGGUAGGCGGAAUGCGUGGUGUAGCGGUGAAAGGCUUAGAUAUCACGAAGAACUCCGAUUGCGAAGGCAGCUUACUAAGCUGCCACUGACAUUGAUGCUCGAAAGUGUGGGUAUCAAACAGGAUUAGAUACCCGAGUAGUC
rnacentral:rRNA from 1 species